AUUGAACGCUGGCGGCAGGCUUAACACAUGCAAGUCGAGCGGUAGCACAAGAGAGCUUGCUCUCUGGGUGACGAGCGGCGGACGGGUGAGUAAUGUCUGGGAAACUGCCUGAUGGAGGGGGAUAACUACUGGAAACGGUAGCUAAUACCGCAUAACGUCGCAAGACCAAAGAGGGGGACCUUCGGGCCUCUUGCCAUCAGAUGUGCCCAGAUGGGAUUAGCUAGUAGGUGGGGUAAUGGCUCACCUAGGCGACGAUCCCUAGCUGGUCUGAGAGGAUGACCAGCCACACUGGAACUGAGACACGGUCCAGACUCCUACGGGAGGCAGCAGUGGGGAAUAUUGCACAAUGGGCGCAAGCCUGAUGCAGCCAUGCCGCGUGUGUGAAGAAGGCCUUCGGGUUGUAAAGCACUUUCAGCGAGGAGGAAGGUGGUGAGCUUAAUACGUUCAUCAAUUGACGUUACUCGCAGAAGAAGCACCGGCUAACUCCGUGCCAGCAGCCGCGGUAAUACGGAGGGUGCAAGCGUUAAUCGGAAUUACUGGGCGUAAAGCGCACGCAGGCGGUUUGUUUAGUCAGAUGUGAAAUCCCCGGGCUCAACCUGGGAACUGCAUUUGAAACUGGCAAGCUAGAGUCUCGUAGAGGGGGGUAGAAUUCCAGGUGUAGCGGUGAAAUGCGUAGAGAUCUGGAGGAAUACCGGUGGCGAAGGCGGCCCCCUGGACGAAGACUGACGCUCAGGUGCGAAAGCGUGGGGAGCAAACAGGAUUAGAUACCCUGGUAGUCCACGCUGUAAACGAUGUCGAUUUGGAGGUUGUGCCCUUGAGGCGUGGCUUCCGGAGCUAACGCGUUAAAUCGACCGCCUGGGGAGUACGGCCGCAAGGUUAAAACUCAAAUGAAUUGACGGGGGCCCGCACAAGCGGUGGAGCAUGUGGUUUAAUUCGAUGCAACGCGAAGAACCUUACCUACUCUUGACAUCCAGAGAACUUUCCAGAGAUGGAUUGGUGCCUUCGGGAACUCUGAGACAGGUGCUGCAUGGCUGUCGUCAGCUCGUGUUGUGAAAUGUUGGGUUAAGUCCCGCAACGAGCGCAACCCUUAUCCUUUGUUGCCAGCGGUUCGGCCGGGAACUCAAAGGAGACUGCCAGUGAUAAACUGGAGGAAGGCGGGGAUGACGUCAAGUCAUCAUGGCCCUUACGAGUAGGGCUACACACGUGCUACAAUGGCAUAUACAAAGAGAAGCGACCUCGCGAGAGCAAGCGGACCUCAUAAAGUAUGUCGUAGUCCGGAUUGGAGUCUGCAACUCGACUCCAUGAAGUCGGAAUCGCUAGUAAUCGUAGAUCAGAAUGCUACGGUGAAUACGUUCCCGGGCCU
rnacentral:rRNA from 1 species